rnacentral:rRNA from 1 species
GAUGAACGCUGGCGGCGUGCCUAACACAUGCAAGUCGAACGGAGUCCAGCCUUAGAGACCUUCGGGUCAAAGAGGGGAAGACUGAGUGGCGGACGGGUGAGUAACACGUGGGCAACCUGGCUCAUAGAGGGAUAACAGAGAGAAAUUUCUGCUAAUACCGCACAAGAACACACUGCCGCAUGGCAGAGUGUGAAAAGAGAAUCGCUAUGAGAUGGACCCGCGUCUGAUUAGCCAGUUGGCAGGGUAAGAGCCUACCAAAGCGACGAUCAGUAGCCGAUUUGAGAGGAUGAACGGCCACAUUGGGACUGAGACACGGCCCAAACUCCUACGGGAGGCAGCAGUGGGGGAUAUUGCACAAUGGGGGGAACCCUGAUGCAGCGACGCCGCGUGAGUGAAGAAGUAUUUCGGUAUGUAAAGCUCUAUCAGCAGGGAAGAUAAUGACAGUACCUGAAUAAGAAGCCCCGGCUAACUACGUG